GAUUUCUUUUCUUCAACUGAGCAAUCUUAAGUUGGAGCUUUUGUAGAGCUGCGGACUGUUGGCUCAAGGUGGCCCUUAGGUUUUGGACAUGUCUCUCCUCCUCCAUUGCUUCCUGAAAAACAAUCUCAAAGAACAAGUGAAGGCAUGGAAAGUUUUGGUCUAACCAAAAUAAAACAAAUGUAAGAAUGCAAUUUAACUAAACCGAGAAAAAUAUGCAAUUAUGAACCGAAAUGAAGUAACUAUACUAAAAUGAUUUUUCUUUUGGUUUUCUGAAUGCAAUCUCGAAAUUAAACAAUAUGGUAUGAUAAGAAACACAAAUGGAAAGAAAGUAU
rnacentral:lncRNA from 1 species